rnacentral:rRNA from 1 species
CCUACGGGUGGCAGCAGUGAGGAAUAUUGGUCAAUGGGCGCGAGCCUGACCCAGCAAAGUCGCGUGAGGGAGUACUGCCCUAUGGGUUGUAAACCUCUUUUGUCGGGGAGCAACAGCCAGACGUGUCCGGCUGUGAGGGUACCCGAAGCAAAAGCAUCGGCUAACGCCGUGCCAGCAGCCGCGGUACUACGGAGGAUGCGAGCGUUAUCCGGAUUUAUGGGGUUAAAGGGGUGCGCAGGCGGAUUUUUAAGUCAGCGGUCAAGUCGUGGGGCUCAACCCCAUCCAGCAGUUGAAACUGGGGAUCUAGAGUGUGCGAGAGGUAUGCGGAAUGCGUGGUGUAGCGGUGAAAUGCAUAGAUAUCACGCAGAACCCCGAUUGCGAAGGCAGCAUACCGGUGCACAACUGACGCUCAGGCACGAAAGCGUGGGUAUCGAACAGGAUUAGAUACCCCAGUAGUC